AGUAGCAAUACUAGAGACCGGCGCACGGGUGCGUAACGCGUAUGCAAUCUACCUUUUACAGAGGGAUAGCCCAGAGAAAUUUGGAUUAAUACCUCAUAGUAUAACGAGUUCGCAUGAAUUUGUUAUUAAAGUCACAACGGUAAAAGAUGAGCAUGCGUCCCAUUAGCUGGUUGGUAAGGUAACGGCUUACCAAGGCUACGAUGGGUAGGGGUCCUGAGAGGGAGAUCCCCCACACUGGUACUGAGACACGGACCAGACUCCUACGGGAGGCAGCAGUGAGGAAUAUUGGUCAAUGGGCGCAAGCCUGAACCAGCCAUGCCGCGUGCAGGAUGACCGUCCUAUGGAUUGUAAACUGCUUUUGCACAGGAAGAAACACUACCUCGUGAGGUAGCUUGACGGUACUGUGAGAAUAAGGAUCGGCUAACUCCGUGCCAUCCGCCGCGGUAAUACGGAGGAUCCAAGCGUUAUCCGGAAUCAUUGGGUUUAAAGGGUCC
rnacentral:rRNA from 1 species